rnacentral:tRNA from 1 species
GUCUCUCGAGUCUCCGGAGAGGACCUACGUCAACACCACGUUCCGACGCAUCGACGAGGCGUUGAACGCGCUGUUCGACCUCGGCGGCGUGACA